rnacentral:rRNA from 1 species
GGAUGAUUAUUGGGCUUAAAGCGUCCGUAGCCGGCACGGUAAGUCUCCCGUGAAAUCNACCGACUCAAUCGUUGGGCUGCGGGAAAUACUGUCCGGCUAGGAGGUGGGGGAGGCCGACGGUAUUCCCGGGGUAGGGGUUAAAUCCUAUAAUCCCGGGAGGACCACCAGUGGCCAAGGCGAUCGGCCAGGACCCGCUCGACGGUUAGGGACGAAAGCUGGGGGAGCCAACCGGAUUAAAUUCCCGGGUUGUCCCAGCCGUAAACGAUGCGGGCUAGGUGUUGG